rnacentral:misc_RNA from 1 species
GAAAUGCGAUAAGUAAUGUGAAUUGCAGAAUUCAGUGAAUCAUCGAAUCUUUGAACGCACAUUGCGCCCGCCAGUAUUCUGGCGGGCAUGCCUGUUCGAGCGUCAUUUCAACCAUCAAGCCCCGGGCUUGUGUUGGGGACCUGCGGCUGUCGCAGGCCCUGAAAACCAGUGGCGGGCUCGCUGUCACACCGAGCGUAGUAGAUUCUCAUCUCGCUCAGGGCGUGCUGCGGGUUCCGGCCGUAAAACAGCCUUAUUUUACCCAAGGUUGACCUCGGAUCAGGUAGGAAGACCCGCUGAACUUAAGC